rnacentral:rRNA from 1 species
AGAGUUUGAUCAUGGCUCAGAGCGAACGCUGGCGGCAUGCUUAACACAUGCAAGUCGCACGGUCAGCAAUGGCAGUGGCGGACGGGUGAGUAACGCGUAGGAAUCUAUCCACGGGUGGGGGAUAACGUCGGGAAACUGACGCUAAUACCGCAUGAUACCUGAGGGUCAAAGGCGCAAGUCGCCUGUGGAGGAGCCUGCGU